AUGGUUUUCACAGAACCCAAUAAUGCUGUUGAGCUAGCCGGACGCUACACGCUCCAGGCACAUAGGACAGCAGAUGACUCUGGCAAGACCAGAGGCGGCGGAUUGUGCAUUUAUGUUAACAAAGCUUGGUGUACGAACACUGUCAUUGUUGGGAGACACUGCUUAGCUAACCUAGAGUUUCUAAUGGUUAAGUGUAGAACUUUUUAUCUGCCACAGGAGUUCACUUCCACCAUUAUAACUGCAGUCUAUAUUCCACCGGAUGCUAAUGCUAAGCUUGCUAUAAACGAACUGCAUGCGGCCAUUAGUAAACAACAGACUGCUCACCCGGAGGCUGCUUUUAUUGUCGCGGGUGAUUUUAAUCACUCCAAAUUAAAGACAGUGCUCCCAAAAUUCCAUCAGCAUGUUUCUUGCCACACUAGAGGGACAAAACUUUGGAUCAUGUUUACACAAACAUUGAUGGAGCUUACAUCGCGUCUGAUCACCUUUCUUUCUUUCUAUUCACCUCUCAUCAACCGUGUGAAGCCAUCAGUGAGGACCAUCAAAGUGUGGCCAACUGGAGCAGACUCUUUACUUCAGGACAGAUUUCAAUACAUGGACUGGAGUAUGUUUGCUUCUCAGGCUGCCUGUGGCUCUCACACAGACAUUGAUAUCUAUACCUCCACUGUACAGGAUUACAUCAACACCACCAUUGACAGCUUUACAACAGAAAAACAGUACCCUAAUCAGAAGCCAUGGAUGAACAAGGAGGUGCAACUUCUGCUGAAAGCCCGCAACACUGCCUUCAGAUCAGAUGACGCUCAGGCCUACAGCAAAUCCAGGGCUAACCUGAGGAGGGGCAUCGGGUUUGAGCGACUGGUCCUAGCACACCUCAAGGACUGCCUCCCACCCACACUAGACCCACACCAAUUUGCUUACCGUAGCAAUAGGAGCACAGAGGAUGGAGUAUGCACAGUGCUGCACUCUGUACUCACACACUUGGACAAUAAUAACACAUAUGUACGGAUGUUGUUCGUUGACUUCAGCUCAGCAAAAACUGUCAUUCCCUCC
ensembl:lncRNA